CUUUAAAAGUAAAAAAAAUCUCAAUUUUUGAAUGAUACAGAGAUUAGCAUGGCCCCUGCAUAAGGAUGACAAGCACAUUCAUGAAGCAGUCCAUAUGUUU
rnacentral:snRNA from 1 species